AUUGAACGCUGGCGGCAGGCCUAACACAUGCAAGUCGAGCGGAUGAAGGGAGCUUGCUCCUGGAUUCAGCGGCGGACGGGUGAGUAAUGCCUAGGAAUCUGCCUGGUAGUGGGGGAUAACGUCCGGAAACGGGCGCUAAUACCGCAUACGUCCUGAGGGAGAAAGUGGGGGAUCUUCGGACCUCACGCUAUCAGAUGAGCCUAGGUCGGAUUUGCUAGUUGGUGGGGUAAAGGCCUACCAAGGCGACGAUCCGUAACUGGUCUGAGAGGAUGAUCAGUCACACUGGAACUGAGACACGGUCCAGACUCCUACGGGAGGCAGCAGUGGGGAAUAUUGGACAAUGGGCGAAAGCCUGCUCCAGCCAUGCCGCGUGUGUGAAGAAGGUCUUCGGAUUGUAAAGCACUUUAAGUUGGGAGGAAGGGCAGUAAGUUAAUACCUUGCUGUUUUGACGUUACCAACAGAAUAAGCACCGGCUAACUUCGUG
rnacentral:rRNA from 1 species